rnacentral:lncRNA from 1 species
UACUGUCACAGGACUGAUUUUCGUCCAAAAUUUUUAUAAAAAUACAAGCCUUUGCAAGAAUAAAAGCCCAAAAUUGGACUGUGACAGUUACCCUAAUGUACCAGCAAGAAUUUGAGUCCACAUCACCAUGUGUAGUCUAGAAAUUGUGGUCCAAUUUGGAUGGUUGGUGUUGCGGCUUGUUUCUGGUUGAUGCCAGAAGACAAAAAAA